rnacentral:rRNA from 1 species
AACGCUGGCGGCAUGCUUUACACAUGCAAGUCGAGCGAGAUCCAGGCCUUCGGGCCUGGGGACAGCGGCGAACGGGUGAGUAACACGUGGGUAAUCAACCCUCGACACUGGGAUAGCCCGGGGAAACCCGGAUUAAUACCGGAUGGCCCUUUGGAUCUUCGGAUCUGACGGGAAAGGUAGCUUCGGCCUCCGGUCGAGGACGAGCCCGCGGCGGAUUAGCUUGUUGGUGGGGUAACGGCUCACCAAGGCGACGAUCCGUAGCUGGUCUGAGAGGACGAUCAGCCACACUGGGACUGAGACACGGCCCAGACUCCUACGGGAGGCAGCAGUGGGGAAUCUUGCGCUAAUGCGGGCAACCGUGACGCAGCGACGCCGCGUGAGGGAAGAAGGCCUUCGGGUUGUAAACCUCUUUCAGGAGGGACGAAGCCACUCGGGUGAAUAGCCCAGAGGGUGACGGUACCUCCAGAAGAAGCCCCGGCUAACUACGUGCCAGCCGCCGCGGUAACAC